GACGAACGCUGGCGGCGUGCUUAACACAUGCAAGUCGAACGGAAAGGCCCUGCUUUUGUGGGGUGCUCGAGUGGCGAACGGGUGAGUAACACGUGAGUAACCUGCCCUUGACUUUGGGAUAACUUCAGGAAACUGGGGCUAAUACCGGAUAGGAGCUCCUGCUGCAUGGUGGGGGUUGGAAAGUUUCGGCGGUUGGGGAUGGACUCGCGGCUUAUCAGCUUGUUGGUGGGGUAGUGGCUUACCAAGGCUUUGACGGGUAGCCGGCCUGAGAGGGUGACCGGCCACAUUAGGACUGAGAUACGGCCCAGACUCCUACGGGGGGCAGCAGUGGGGAAUAUUGCACAAUGGGCGGAAGCCUGAUGCAGCAACGCCGCGUGCGGGAUGACGGCCUUCGGGUUGUAAACCGCUUUCGCCUGUGACGAAGCGUGAGUGACGGUAAUGGGUAAAGAAGCACCGGCUAACUACGUG
rnacentral:rRNA from 1 species